rnacentral:rRNA from 1 species
GAUGAACGCUGGCGGCGUGCCUAAUACAUGCAAGUCGAGCGAACAGACGAGGAUCUUGCUCCUCUGACGUUAGCGGCGGACGGGUGAGUAACACGUGGAUAACCUACCUAUAAGACUGGGAUAACUUCGGGAAACCGGAGCUAAUACCGGAUAAUAUAUUGAACCGCAUGGUUCAAUAGUGAAAGACGGUUUUGCUGUCACUUAUAGAUGGAUCCGCGCCGCAUUAGCUAGUUGGUAAGGUAACGGCUUACCAAGGCAACGAUGCGUAGCCGACCUGAGAGGGUGAUCGGCCACACUGGAACUGAGACACGGUCCAGACACCUACGGGAGGAAGCAGUAGGGAAUCUUCCGCAAUGGGCGAAAGCCUGACGGAGCAACGCCGCGUGAGUGAUGAAGGUCUUCGGAUCGUAAAACUCUGUUAUUAGGGAAGAACAAAUGUGUAAGUAACUAUGCACGUAUUGACGGUACCUAAUCAGAAAGCCACGGCUAACUACGUG